GGUGAAGAAAGUAUUUGUGUUCUUGAGUUAGACAAAUAUUUCUCAGGACAUGAAAAGCAAAAAAAAAAGAAAAAAUUUAAUAUCAAAUUUUAAAACUUGUUCUUCAGGGGCUGGGGCAGUAGCUCAGUGGUAGAGUGCUCACCAGGCAUGCAUGAGGCACUGGGUUCGAUCCUCAGCCCUACAUAAAAAUAAACAAAAUAAAGGCAUUCUGUCCAUCUACAGCUAAAUAUAUAUAUAUAAAAGUUGACUUUAAAAAAAAAAAACUUGAUCUUCAGAAGACACUGUUAAGGAAAUUAAAUGAGACCACAGACUGGGAAAAAAUAUUUAUCAAUCAUAUUCACUAAAGAAUUUUGUCUGUAAUACCUAAAGACCUCUCACAGCACAAUAACAAGACAACCAAGUUUUAAAAUGAGCAAAAGAUCCAAAAAGGAAGAUCAAGGGGGCUGGUGGUAUUGGUGGAGUGCUUGCCUAGCAUGCACAAGACCCUGGGUUCAAUCCCUAGCACCACACACAAAAAAAAUC
rnacentral:lncRNA from 1 species